rnacentral:rRNA from 1 species
AUUGAACGCUGGCGGCAGGCCUAACACAUGCAAGUCGAGCGGAUGAAGGGAGCUUGCUCCUGGAUUCAGCGGCGGACGGGUGAGUAACGCCUAGGAAUCUGCCUGGUAGUGGGGGAUAACGUCCGGAAACGGGCGCUAAUACCGCAUACGUCCUGAGGGAGAAAGUGGGGGAUCUUCGGACCUCACGCUAUCAGAUGAGCCUAGGUCGGAUUAGCUAGUUGGUGGGGUAAAGGCCUACCAAGGCGACGAUCCGUAGCUGGUCUGAGAGGAUGAUCAGUCACACUGGAACUGAGACACGGUCCAGACUCCUACGGGAGGCAGCAGUGGGGAAUAUUGGACAAUGGGCGAAAGCCUGAUCCAGCCAUGCCGCGUGUGUGAAGAAGGUCUUCGGAUUGUAAAGCACUUUAAGUUGGGAGGAAGGGCAGUAAGUUAAUACCUUGCUGUUUUGACGUUACCAACAGAAUAAGCACCGGCUAACUUCGUG